rnacentral:rRNA from 1 species
UACGGAGGAUCCGAGCGUUAUCCGGAUUUAUUGGGUUUAAAGGGAGCGUAGGCGGGUUGUUAAGUCAGUUGUGAAAGUUUGCGGCUCAACCGUAAAAUUGCAGUUGAUACUGGCAUCCUUGAGUACAGUAGAGGUAGGCGGAAUUCGUGGUGUAGCGGUGAAAUGCUUAGAUAUCACGAAGAACUCCGAUUGCGAAGGCAGCCUGCUGGACUGUAACUGACGCUGAUGCUCGAAAGCGUGGGGAGCAAACAGG